rnacentral:rRNA from 1 species
GUGGGGAAUAUUGGACAAUGGCCGGAAGGCUGAUCCAGCCAUGCCGCGUGCGGGAGGACGGCCCUAUGGGUUGUAAACCGCUUUUGCGAGGGAGCAAUAAGAGUCACGUGUGGCUCGAUGAGAGUACCUCGCGAAUAAGCAUCGGCUAACUCCGUGCCAGCAGCCGCGGUAAUACGGAGGAUGCAAGCGUUAUCCGGAUUUAUUGGGUUUAAAGGGUGCGUAGGCGGUUUGCUAAGCGGGAGGUGAAAUGCCGGCGCUCAACGUCGGAAGUGCCUCCCGAACUGGUGGACUGGAAUGACUCUGCCGUGGGAGGAAUGUGUAGUGUAGCGGUGAAAUGCUUAGAGAUUACACAGAACACCGAUUGCGAAGGCAUCUCACGAAGGGUUGAUUGACGCUGAGGCACGAAAGCGUGGGGAUCAAACAGG